rnacentral:rRNA from 1 species
AUUGAACGCUGGCGGCAGGCCUAACACAUGCAAGUCGAGCGGUAACACAGGAAGCUUGCUCCCGGGUGACGAGCGGCGGACGGGUGAGUAAUGUCUGGGAAACUGCCUGAUGGAGGGGGAUAACUACUGGAAACGGUAGCUAAUACCGCAUAACGUCGCAAGACCAAAGAGGGGGACCUUCGGGCCUCUUGCCCUCAGAUGUGCCCAGAUGGGAUUAGCUAGUAGGUGGGGUAAUGGCUCACCUAGGCGACGAUCCCUAGCUGGUCUGAGAGGACGACCAGCCACACUGGAACUGAGACACGGUCCAGACUCCUACGGGAGGCAGCAGUGGGGAAUAUUGCACAAUGGGCGCAAGCCUGAUGCAGCCAUGCCGCGUGUAUGAAGAAGGCCUUCGGGUUGUAAAGUACUUUCAGCGGGGAGGAAGGUGUUGAGGUUAAUAACCUCAGCAAUUGACGUUACCCGCAGAAGAAGCACCGGCUAACUCCGUGCCAGCCGCCGCCGUAA